rnacentral:lncRNA from 1 species
CUCUGCAGUAUCUAUAAUGAUCCACUGUAAGUAGCUAAUAACAGAAUAACUUCUAUAAAGGUAGUGAAUGAAGAGUUUGGAAGUUCCAGUUACUGUCUGUCAAGUUGAGUGUCAGCCCUUGGGCUGUGCUUUUUAUCCAGAGGCGAUGAGUCAAUGGAAGAUGUAAGGUGAGGGCACUGGUGCUCUAUGGAGGUGGGGCUGCUGGAUGUGAUGGGGGAGAGAUGCUACAACUUGGACCAAGCAGUGGCCAUGCAAACAGAGAAAAGGGCAGAAUUUGGAGAUGCAGAAUAUCUUACAGAUUUGGUAUUAUUCACUAGGAACAAAUUACAGGUAAUGAAACAACAACAACAAAACUUGGAGUCAGAAAUGACCCAUGUCUCCACAUACCUGUGAGCUGCUUCCUUCACGCAGUCUUUGCCCAGGUUUCUUGUCGGAGGGGACUCCCUGAACAUGAGUGCUCCACCAAUUCCUCGGGGCCCACCCACAAGCCCAUCCCAGCCCUCUUGCAGUGGGUGGAGGCAGGAGGAAAGUUGUGACUGCUUGGUUAGAAUCCGUCAGAGAACACACAAUGCUCCAGCUGUCGUCUGCUGCUGCAGCCCCGUGGGGGGACUAAGGAGGUUGCCACAUCUCAGCUGGUGCAAUCUCCGUCCACCUGUAUCCCUGGGUGACUAGAGCAAACCCAGUGCUGGCCCAUGGUGGACAUAGAGUCUGGAUGGAAAACAGGCUUAUGCCGAGCACUGGGGUUCAGGAGUUAAUGAUUACCCCAGCACAUGGCACCAGACCUAACGUAGGCAGAGCAGUGCUGCCCAUGCCAGGUGUCUGGCUCCCUACCUGCCUCAGUUCUCAUGUAGCACACACAGGCUUGUUCAGGGCUCAACACUGUUGGGGACCACAAAACAAGUCAAGAUGGCGCCUGGCAGUUUGCCAGGAGGAGUGGUUUGUGAGGCAAUGCCACUGAACCAUUAAGAUGGUGAGGAUUCCUUAUUGGCUGACUGCU